rnacentral:rRNA from 1 species
GACGAACGCUGGCGGCGUGCCUAAUACAUGCAAGUGGGACGCAAGGAAACACACUGUGCUUGCACACCGUGUUUUCUUGAGUCGCGAACGGGUGAGUAACGCGUAGGUAACCUGCCUAUUAGCGGGGGAUAACUAUUGGAAACGAUAGCUAAUACCGCAUAAUAUUAAUUAUUGCAUGAUAAUUGAUUGAAAGAUGCAAGCGCAUCACUAGUAGAUGGACCUGCGUUGUAUUAGCUAGUUGGUAGGUAAGAGCUUACCAAGGCGACGAUACAUAGCCGACCUGGGAGGGUGAUCGGCCACACUGGGACUGAGACACGGCCCAGACUCCUACGGGAGGCAGCAGUAGGGAAUCUUCGGCAAUGGACGAAAGUCUGACCGAGCAACGCCGCGUGAGUGAAGAAGGUUUUCGGAUCGUAAAGCUCUGUUGUAAGUCAAGAACGUGUGUGAGAGUGGAAAGUUCACACAGUGACGGUAGCUUACCAGAAAGGGACGGCUAACUACGUG